GAUAAAAGCAUAGAUAUUAGCAGACUUCAUGGUGGAAUGCACUAUCUCGGAAGAGGCCAAACUUGGACGAGAUGAAGCCGACAACCCAGGGCUCCAGUCGAACUCCCCUGAAGAAGGAACAGAUCUCCCUGGUGGUUUUUGGGCCCUCUACGUGGAUGGUUCGUCCAAUAUGUCAGGCACAGGUGCGGGCCUAAUCUUGGUCAAUCC
rnacentral:lncRNA from 1 species